rnacentral:rRNA from 1 species
AGGACGAACGCUGGCGGCGUGCUUAACACAUGCAAGUCGAGCGAGGCCCUUCCUUCGGGAAGGUGCCCUAGCGGCGAACGGGUGAGUAACACGUGGGCAACCUGCCCCUAGCACUGGGAUAACUCCGGGAAACCGGGGCUAAUACCGGAUAUUACCUUCUUGGGCAUCCUCGAAGGUGUAAAGGAUUCUGGCUAGGGAUGGGCCCGCGGCCUAUCAGCUUGUUGGUGGGGUAACAGCCUACCAAGGCGACGACGGGUAGCCGGCCUGAGAGGGUGACCGGCCACACUGGGACUGAGACACGGCCCAGACUCCUACGGGAGGCAGCAGUGGGGAAUCUUGCACAAUGGGCGAAAGCCUGAUGCAGCGACGCCGCGUGAGGGAUGACUGCCUUCGGGUUGUAAACCUCUUUCAGCAGGGACGAAGCGAAAGUGACGGUACCUGCAGAAGAAGCACCGGCCAACUACGUGCCAGCAGCCGC